GGAUGCGAUCAUACCAGCACUAAAGCACCGGAUCCCAUCAGAACUCCGAAGUUAAGCGUGGUUGGGCGAGAGUAGUACUUGGAUGGGUGACCUCCUGGGAAGUCCUCGUGUUGCAUUCC
rnacentral:rRNA from 1 species